CCAUGCCCAAAAAUGUCGAUCAAAGCUUUCCAUUAAUAAUUUACAUAUGUACUAUAUGAUCUUACACUACUAAUUCUGUCACGCACACACUCACACGCGAGCCUAAUCUAGCAAUAUAUAUGUUGCUAAUCUUACAAUUCCAAUCAUACGCACAUCAUCAUCAACAUAUAGAAGAAGACUCCGAUCCAAAUAUGCAUCUCACCGAUCGCCAAAACUGAAGAGAGCGAGAGAGAUAUGUAUAGUAACAAGAACACAACAAAACAGAAGACGACCGAGGAAGCCAACCGUACCUCGCCGACCCGCAGGAGUCAGCUAAGGGAUAGCGACACACCGACGCCGAAAGACGCGUGUCGCCCUCCGCCGUUUACGUGCUCCUCUGGCUUGGCUUUGGUAGCUCGCGGGCUCGCCG
rnacentral:lncRNA from 1 species